CAAUGUCAAAGGGAAACUCCCUAACGGCCAUUUUAGGUAAAUCACAUAUAAGGUUGAAUAAUGCGGAUUGUGCUUAUGCUGAGUAAAUAGGCAUUUUAUUAACCCCUUAAGGACAGAGCCAAAUGUACACGUUGUGAACAAAACAAAAUGUAAACAAAACCUGGCAUUUGCGCUACAUGUCUGUCCAACCGUAAUUCACCUCUUUCAUAGUAAAUGCACCCACCCUUAUUAUAUAUCAUUUUAUUCAGGGGAAACAGGGCUUUCAUUUAAUAUCAAAUAUUUAGCUAUGAAACAAUUUAAUAUGAAAAAAUGGGAGAAAAUACGAUUUUUUUUUAUUUUUUAGUUCUACAUGACAUGUUAAC